GGGGGGGGGGGGGGGGGGGGGGGGGGGGGGGGGGGGGGGGGGGGGGGGGGGGGGGGAGGCUGGGCGAGGAGAGGGCCAGGCCGGGCCACCAGCACCUGGGGAGCUCCAAGGGACAUGGGACAGGGGACAGAGGCUGUGGAGAGCACUGGGGCAGGGCAGUGCCACCACUGGGGCCAGUGUCCUGUCCCUGGGCCCUGCCUUUCCUGCCCCUCUGUCCCAGCCACCCUCUCCCUGCUACCCAACCCCACUGAGCCCCUUCUCUCCCUCCUCCUCCUCCUCCAGGCCAUGGCUGGAAAGCUCACCAAAAUCCUGCUGGUGCUGGCCAUCCUCCAGCACGGGCUGAGGGCACAUGCCCAGGCAGCGCAGACCAAGGCAGAGGUCCUGAGGCAGCAUGAGGAACAGCACAGCCGGAUGACUUGGCUGGCCAUGGCUAGAAGCAUCACCAAAGUCCUGAUGGCAGCAGGCAUCUUCCAAUAUGCACUGAGUGUGGAUCUCCCAGUAGUGAAGGUCACAGAAGAGCUCCUGAGGCAGCAUGAGGAGCAGCGCAGCCAGGAGAUGGCCAAUCUGCAGAAGAUGGAGCAGAGGAUGCAGGAGCAGAGCAGACCCACCCAGGAAAGCGUGCUCCACUCAGCCUGCCUGCAGUGGUGGCUCUGGAACUGUGUGGAAAUUAUCCUCCUGCUCUUUGGGAUAUACUGGCUGCCCACUAGGAAGAGUGCUAGUUAUGGCAGUGGCAGCCAGGAGAAAGCCACCUGCAGUGCCCAGGAGCAGAUGGAGAACUAGGAGGACAAGCCCAUGGAUAAGAGGUAGGCACUGGGGGAGAUCUACUGAUACCACUGCAGCCAUGUUCUGUGCUUACUCCUCUCCUACCUGAGGAGGAAAACAGAGCCCAAAUCCCUGCUUCCUGCACAGCCUCUGCAAAUGGUCCCAGUAGUGAUGCUCCCCCUGCCAGGAGAUGCAGAAGAGAUUUCCUCCUUGUCCAUCUGCUAAUAAAACUGUUGAUCUGCUU
rnacentral:lncRNA from 12 species